UGAAGCUGGAUUCGCUAGUAAUCGCGCAUCAGCCACGGCGCGGUGAAUACGUUCCCGGGCCUUGUACACACCGCCCGUCAAGCCAUGGAAGCCGGGAGUGCCUGAAGUACGCGACCGCAAGGAGCGUCCUAAGGUAAAACCGGUGACUGGGGCUAAGUCGUAACAAGGUACC
rnacentral:rRNA from 1 species